rnacentral:lncRNA from 1 species
CUAUCAUUACAGCUCUUAGAUUUUAACUCAAAACACCAAGUCAUCAGGCAUUACAACGCAGAAGUUGGUCCUGUAUCUUUGUUGGCAACAAACAGGAGCACACCAAAGAUGAAUAAAUAGGUAAUAAAAUCUUAGUGGACAGCAUAAAUCAUCAAAUUGAGUACACGGGAUAACUAAAUGGCAAAUAGCAAUGUCACUUCAUUCCUGCCAAUGCUUGAUUGUUUGUACCAAAGAAAAUGUAGUCCAACUAAUUGUAGACCAUAUACUUCGGUGUUGCAUGGAAUUUCUGAUAUCCCUUAAUGACCUUGUUGACGGCAUCCAAAAAGUCUUUCUCUGUAACAGUUUUCUUCCUUGCUCGAAUAGCAUACAUUCCAGCCUCCGUGCACACACUUCUUAUAACAGCUCCUGGAAUAAACCAAAUCAAUGAAAAGGCAAAAGUGAGCCCCUACUUGUCGUAUUUGUACAUCUCAUUACUACAAUAUUUUGAAAAUUUAAGUGAUGCAUAUAGGUGAAAUUAUAUUUGUCCAAAAAUAUAUACAAGUGAACUCAUCACUUCUCUUUACAUGAAAGUAAACCUUCUCUAGACCUCCAUAAAUGCCAUAAAGUCGGAAAAACAGCCAACUUAUUGCCAAAUUCACUCUUUAAAUGCAUCAAACUCAAUUAAAAUAUCAACCUCUUCCAAAAUUCUCCUCUAGGUCCAGCAACCUUAACCUUGGCUUUUAACUGGUCAAUGGACAAGCUCAAGGAGAUCUCAUUCUGUAAAUACUCACCUUAAAAUUCCUAUUGAUAUAAGUUGCGGAAAAAAAAAUCCUAUUAAUAUAAACCCAUCCAACAUUGUGGGUACCAAACCAAGUUAUCUAAGUCCACCGACCACAGUAUGUAUGUACAACACCAACAAGGCAACAACAGCAUACCCAGUGUAGUCUGACAAAGUGGGGUUUGGGGAGGGUAGAGUGUAAACAAACCUUACCCCUACCUCAGAGUUAGGGGUACUAUUCGGGAUAGACCCUUGGCUCAAGGACACCACAUUAUGUAUGUAAACCCCAAUAUUCAUUUCAACAGAACAGUUCAAGAUUACAUUAAUGGACUGCCCAAGAACACUUGGAAGGUUUUUUUUUGUGGAAAAUUUUUACAUAUUCAAGUUCUAUCAGGGAACAAGAAAAGCCCAUGACAUAAAAGUUGAAACAAGGUAAGUUGAUCCAAAAUGUAACAAGAAAAUUUGGAAUGCGAGUAAUAAUGUGUGUCUUUGCUGUUGUACUUUUGCACAAAAUAUAGAUUGUGAUUCUCCAGUUUUAACAGUAAACCUGGCUUCCCAGGCACCCUCCUUCCAGAUACCCGUACAUUCACCAAUAGAGGUGUUACUAGAAGAUAGAACAGAACAAAAUACUAUGUUGGAAAGACAUGAUGCAUACCUUUGCAAUUUGCUUGACGUUUAUCACGUAUUUUGCAUCUUCAGUGUUGGGGCUAAUUACCUUUGUACAGCUGGCAACCUGCUCCAAAAGAAUUCAAUUAAUACUUCAAUGUACCUGAGUAAUAAAAGAGCAACAGAUCUGUAUUUCAAUGAAACACACCUGAAGAGGUUGCUCCGCCUGCAUCAUCUGUUUAUCAGAAACCAGAUCCCAUUGACUUGGUGCAGCUAACCCAGUGUCAGACCCCUUAAUACCUAUGGUAAAUUAUUUACGAUGUAGUUCACAAGAAUGUGCAACAAAGAAACACAAGGUUUGAAAAGAACAAAAAGAAGUCCCUUCACAUAAUCAAAUACAAAAUCAACAAGAGACAUAACAAACAUACCGCGUAAAUCAUUUAUCUUUUUGGCCAUUUCCUUGAUUUCCUUUUCGGCUUUCUUUAUGCCGGUCGAAUAAGGUCCCAGACCCUGCAAAAAUCAUUAUAUUUUGUGAGAAUAAUUUAUAAAUCGUGAACUUUCACUGAGCCAGCACUACAAAAUAUAAUUACAAGUUCGGCAAUUCCCAAAUAUCUUGCAUUUCAUCUACAUCAUGUAGAAGGAUCAUUGUACCAAAAGGCUAGCAAGGAGGAGGGAUGUGUGACUUAGGCCUAGAGUAACACAUGUGCACCUCACUGACUCAAUCUUGCAACUGAAUAAUGUCUCAAAAAACAAAAAAGAUAAAUAUGCAUAUUUCUACUAUUUUUUUGCCCUCGUAGCUUAGUUCAAGUAGCAAAGGUGGAGGAACUUGUGACUUAGGUAAGAGGUUUGACUCCUGUGCUGUACCAAUUAAGCCUGGUAUUUUCAUUGGAGAAGGGUACAAGGGCAGGUCAUUAUCACCAAGCUUCCAAGGUAACAAUUGGUCUUAAAGGGUUGACCCCGAACAGAUUUCUCAUUCAUCAAAAAAAAAUUAUUUAAAUUUUAUUUAUAAUGAGAGGCACAAUUGACCAAGGCAACUUAUCCAUGCUUAACAGGAGAGCCUCAAUACCCUAGAGUGACCUGAACCUACUGAGCUCACAGGCAUUAGCUCAACAUAACAAAUGGGGAAUCAGCUACAACAGUGGAGGAGCUUAUGUAGGAGAACAAGUGCUCCCACUAGAAGUACAAAACCAGAAAGUAACAUAUAAGGAACAAGAAGAUCACAUGGACCACACAUGCCCCCGCUGCAGUUCACCAAAUUUGACAAGAAUGGUUCAGAUAUAAGUGUAACUCAUACUUGCAGACAUAUAAUCUCUCUGAUAUGUUUCUACCUCUAAAAACAUGGCAUGUAGUUAGGUGGAGAAAAUAUGUAUUGGUUUUUUCAUUUAUAAAAGUGAAUUGAGAUCUUGAAUUUAACUUUUUUAAAAUCAAUUCUUAGCCACAAAAUACAUAUUAGAAAGCACAAAAACAAAAGCAAAAAGAGCAAUGCAACAUAAGUAAUAUUACAGAUCCUCUCAGACCAUAAAAAGUUAUAUUUUAUGCUAUGAGCAACUCUGGUCGCAAGUGUCAUAAGUGAUUCAACAGUUCCAUGGCUGCAUAUUCAGUCAAUAGCAUGUGACUACUCAAAGGCUUGUUAGAAAGGCGGCAAGGGAUGAACAAAACCCCCUAUGUUGACACUCCAAACAUAACUUUAGAGGCCGUUACUAGAUAGACCAGAGCUACACCCAGGGGGGGAAUUAUUUCCCACUAAGGAACGCACCUAGAUUUCUCCCAUUGAAUCCGUCUUAGUUCCGAUAAUUGAAUUAUCCAUAGAUAUAUGCUCCCUGAACCAAUUCACUUGAGUGAGACAUAAGAGAGUGGAAUUCCCUGAUAAGCUGUAUUAAAGUAAGUUCAAGCUAAGCUCUUGUUUCUAAAGACGAGAAGGAGGACAUGUUCAAUGUCUUCAAAAAAAUGGCGUUAGGGGGAGGGGAUUACAAGGUGGGUAGUGGAACCCUCACCAACAAGGUGAAGGUAGUCAGAUAGUCAGCCAAUUGAACUACUAUUUCCCCCGAACAUUGAUAACCUAAAAAAGGUUUUGAGCAUAAUGAAAAUGAGAGAUGUUGCUAGCUGCACGCAUCCACACCUACAAAACAUCCACCUAAAUCCUAAUAAACGCAAAUCACUACCUUCAAGAGCUCAAACAUUCUUCAAAUUCGAACCCACUUAGUAACAAAACGAAAGAUAAUAUCAAAAAUUACAUUUCUGCAACAUUCUGUACCAUCUCAGUUAUCCAACAGUGCGCAAUGAAAAAUUAACAGUUCAAAAUGAAUUCAAAAGCAACAGAUAGAGCCAAUAGGUAAGAACUAGGGUUAAAGAUUAGGGGAAGAAAUAGUACAUAAGUUUUGAGUAGAGCAAUAUCAUCUUCAUACAGUGGCGGUGGGUUCUUCUCGUCCUUGAUCUCAUCUUCGAUAUCAGCGGCUGCGGGUGCCAUAGAUUUCAGAUGCGUUCGUUCUUCCCACAAAUAGCAAAGAGCAAAAAGAUCUGUAUUUCGAAAAAUUUCUUGAGAAAGUAUAACAAGAAUGAGAUCUCUUUCGCUUUUAUAAAACCCGGUACAUGUGGUUGUUGGGGCAGAUAUAUCCAAAUCGACCCGGUCACCUUCUUUUUGGGCCCAAUGGAAUAUAGUAAAAGAUUAAAAAGAAGGUAAAAGAGCACAAAUAGCCAUAUUUAGGGUUCCUAUUUUGCAAAAAAUUUAAAAUUUAGCCACCUAAAAGUUAACUUCAGACAUGGGAUUUGAAGUUGAAAUCACAGGUGUGAAGUUUCUAACUUAGACCCAAGGGUUUGAAGUUAGUUUUGAUUUUGAAUUCGUUGAGUUAUUAGAUGACUGAAAUACAAGAGCAUCGAAAUUAGUUGAAGUUCAACUUGUAGUGCAUCCCUUACUUGUGAUUUUAAUUAUUUUACUAAUCCUCCCUCUUUCAAGUUUUUGAUUUGAAAAUUGGGAACAACACUGGACUAGUUUUGAACCAUAUGCAUUAACUUAUUCUUCUGUUCGAAACUAUGUACUUCUUCUGCUUCCUUUCCGCGGCUAACAAAACAAGGCAUCUUAUGAGACAGUUUAAAAGAUGCUCAAGCAUGCACAUCUGAAGUCUGAACUUGAAAACUAUCAAUUACAUCCAACCUUCAGAGUCAAGAGCCUAAACGCUCUAAUACAGAUUUGGUUUAUGUGAAGCCACAGUUUUGAAACUAAGCUUCUUCACAACCACUAAAACAAAAUGAAGAGUUAUAGCUUUCAAGUUCACUGCACUAAGCUAUAAUUCUAGGAAGAUAUUAUUGCAGGAAAUGUCGUAACUGAAUCAAAGAAACCUACAGCUAACAUGUAUGUUAGUGACGGGAUGCAGAUUCCUAAUUUUUGUCUUGCCGAUUCCAAGAUAUGUAACAACUCACUCACAAGGGAACAAAUGUAUUGAACCAGGGCAGCUUCUAUAGAAAAUACAGAAGAAAAACAUUUUGUUGAGUAUUCCUGAAAUAGUUGCAAAGAUUAAUAUGAAUCUCUUGGUUCCCCAUAGUCUUGUAGGGGUCUGGGAAGCUGCUAAAAUUCUCAUGACCAGUUCUUUCAAAAUUGAUAUGGAAAAGUCAGCUAUAGUGAGUGCUUGUAUUUAAUAACAUCCAUUGUGUUCAAGUUAAAUCUCUGGCAGAUAUCAGAUAUGGUCGGCUCACUUAAACCAUCAUUAGAUUCUCCAAGAGUUAUGUAUACAGCUUUGGAGUUGUUAUGUUGGAACUUUGUACUGGUCGAAAACCUUUCGAUAGGUAAAUGUUAAUUUAAUGAUUUUGAACCCAAAAUCUGUUUAAGACAAAUAAUAAUAUACGUGUGUUGUGUGUUCUUCUCUUCUCCACUCAGCUCAAGACCAAGAUCUGAACAGUCUUUAGUUAGAUGGGCAACCCCUCAGCUUCAUGAUAUUGAUGCCCUGGAAAAGAUGGUUGAUCCAGCUCUCUCUGGAUUAUAUUCUGUCAAAUCUCUUUCCCGGUUUGCUGAUGUUAUUGCUCUCUGUGUUCAGGUAAUACUCUCGUUGUUUCAAUUCAUGUGACUAGACACGAGGUUUAAGAUAAAAAUGAAGACAUUUGAAACAUGUGGUCUUAAACAUGACAUAACAUCUCAUUAGAGUAAAAUGAGAAGUAGUUCGUUCCUUUUGUACUGAAAGCUGUUAUAUGCCAUGUGUUCAAUUUUCAAUGAAGUACUUCCCUAAAUCGCGCUCACUAUCACAAUGGUUUGUGUAUGUUGUGUCAGCUUGAGCCUGAGUUUCGGCCACCUAUGUCUGAAGUGGUUCAAGCAUUAGUCCGGCUAGUGCAACGAGCAAAUAUGAGCAAGAGGUUACACAAUAAUGAUCAGAUAAACAUAGAAUGACUCUUGAAAAAGAGGCUCUUAACUGCAUGGUAUUUAUACUAAUUCGAAAACUGCCAGUUCUGCAUCUAGAUUCCGGCAAAGGUUCAUUCAUACUUGAGCAAUUACGACACCACUAAGAAUGCAUAUGACACUUUUAAGAGUCUAAUUGAGUGGACACCUUGGAAAAUAGCGUUGCUUGCAAUAUUGAUGGAAGGCAAACACAAAAUAAAAAGAAUUAAGGCAGAUUAGGACACAACUAUUGCUUGAUGUUAGUACGACAAUAACAGUUCUACUUUGCCAAUCAGAUACCUACCUUGACAAACACAAGCGCUGACAGCAGAAGCCGACAUCACAGGAAUGAAAUUGAAUUAAAAUUAAGUAAAGAGGGAAAGCUAGCUAUCAUUACAGCUCUUAGAUUUAAACUCAAAACACCAAGUCAUCAGGCUAACGCAGAAGUUGGUCCUGCAUCUUUGUUGGCAACAAACAGAAGCACCAAAGAUGAAUAAACAGGUAAUAAAAUCUUAGUGGACAGUAAAAAUUAUCAAAUUGAGUACACGGGUAAUAAAUGGCAAAUAGCAAUGUCACUCCAUUCCUGCCAACACUUGAUUGUUUGGACCAAAUAGAAAGUAGUCCAACUAAUUGUAGACC